CUGGGAUUGGGAUGACGAAGCUGAGACAGCAUGUCUGGUAACCAAGCGGGCUAUUUAGCAGGUUGGCAUGUCCAGCAGCAUCAUGGACUGGGCCCAGACCUAUACCAAGGUGACCAAUGUCUCCAACUGUUGGAUCUGCACCACCCUUCCAGCAGCAGCUGCAGACAGCUUGCCCUGGCACAUGCAUUCAGCUUCUGUGAAGAACUGGACGUGGCUAGAGACUUCGGGUCGCACGGACAAUGGGUGGGAGGCAAUAAGUUCUGAAUGAAGCCCCUGCGUUGGAC
rnacentral:lncRNA from 10 species